GCCUCAUUAGCUCAAGCUUUAGAGCACUGGUCUAGUAAACCAGUUGUCCAGAUUUCAAAUCUCUGAUGAGGCU
rnacentral:tRNA from 1 species